rnacentral:rRNA from 1 species
AGUGAACGCUGGCGGCAGGCCUAAUACAUGCAAGUCGAACGGCAGCACAGCAGAGCUUGCUCUGUGGGUGGCGAGUGGCGGACGGGUGAGGAAUACAUGGGAAUCUGCCCAGUCGUGGGGGAUAACGUAGGGAAACUUACGCUAAUACCGCAUGCGCCCUUCGGGGGAAAGCCGGGGGCCUUCGGGCCUGGCCCGAUUGGAUGAGCCCAUGUCGGAUUAGCUAGUUGGUGGGGUAAAGGCCCACCAAGGCGACGAUCCGUAGCUGGUCUGAGAGGAUGAUCAGCCACACUGGAACUGAGACACGGUCCAGACUCCUACGGGAGGCAGCAGUAGGGAAUAUUGGACAAUGGGCGCAAGCCUGAUCCAGCCAUGCCGCGUGAGUGAAGAAGGCCUUCGGGUUGUAAAGCUCUUUUGUCCGGAAAGAAAAGCAUCCAGUUAAUACCUGGGUGUCCUGACGGUACCGGAAGAAUAAGCACCGGCUAACUUCGUGCCAGCCGCCGCCGUAAUAC